rnacentral:tRNA from 1 species
UAUUUAUUUUGAUUACACAAACCUUUUGAUUGGAAGUCAAAUAUACUAUUAUACUAAAUAAAU